rnacentral:tRNA from 1 species
CGCCCGUAGCUCAGCUGGAUAGAGCACGCUCCUCCUAAGAGCGGGGUCGCAGGUUCGACUCCUGCCGGGCGCACCA